rnacentral:rRNA from 1 species
GCUAUUUAGGUUAGAGUUUGAUCCUGGCUCAGAACGAACGCUGGCGGCAGGCCUCAAACAUGCAAGUCUAGGGGGCGUAGCAAUACGUCACCGGCGGACGGGUGCGUAACACGUGGGAAUAUACCUUUUGGUUCGGAACAACUGAGGGAAACUUCAGCUAAUACCGAAUGUGUCCUUACGGAGAAAGAUUUAUCGCCAAGGGAUUAGCCCGCGUCCGAUUAGCUAGUUGGUGAGGUAAUGGCUCACCAAGGCUCCGAUCGGUAGCUGUUCUGAGAGGAAGAUCAGCCACACUGGGACUGAGACACGGCCCAGACUCCUACGGGAGGCAGCAGUUGGGAAUCUUGGACAAUGGGGGAAACCCUGAUCCAGCCAUGCCGCGUGAGUGAUGAAGGCCUUCGGGUUGUAAAGCUCUUUUGCCAGGGAUGAUAAUGACCGUACCUGGAGAAUAAGCCCCGGCUAACUUCGUGCCAGCAGCCGCGGUAAUCGCCC